GCAGUUUGGUAGCUCACGAGGCUCAUAACCUUGAGGUCACGGGUUCGAUUCCCGUCUCCGCAC
rnacentral:tRNA from 1 species